AAAAAAUUUGGCUGUUUCAUACAUUUUGUCUAGUCCAUUUUCUAUGGGAGGGUAAUUUUUUUUCCAGCAACCAUUUUCUUGCCAGCAGCGGAAAAGCACUUAUUUUAUGGCCACCCUGUAUAAUGACAAUAAAUUCGAGAGUACCUGCAAGUAACAACUACUGAACUCUCUGAAGUUCGAUUUUAUGUCUAAAACAGAAGUAUCUCCGUUUUUAGGGUUCCGUACCCAAAGGGUAAAACGGGACCCUAUUACUAAGACUCCGCUGUCCGUCCGUCCGUCCGUCCGUCAAUCACCAGGCUGUAUCUCACGAAUCGAGAUAGCUAGACAGUUGAAAUUUUCACAGAUGAUGUAUUUCUGUUGCCGCUAUAACAACAAAUACUAAAACAGAAUAAAAUAAAGAUUUAAGUGGGGCUCCCAUACUGUUGUAAACGUGAUUUUUGAUAGAAGUUAAGCAACGUCGGGCUCGGGCGGGGUCAGUACUUGGAUGGGUGACCGUUUUUAUAGAUAAUGGUACGGAACCCUUCGUGUGCGAGUCCGACUCGCACUUGGCCGGUUUUUAUUUAGAACGAAGUUGAUUUAUAAGGUUUACUUGAUCCUUGUGGGAAGCAAAUGAAGCUUUAUUUGUAAGUAUGUAUGUAAAAUAAAAUAAUAUUAAUAAUCUAUCAACCGCAUCUAGAUCGAUAGUGCUCGUCAAGGAAAAUCUAUUGAGCCCAAACACGAUGGAGUUAUGAUGAGUAGAUUAGGAUAGAUUAGGAUUUCUGGUGACCAACUCCUGACUCCAUCAUGAGAACCUGGACUUCAUCUAGAUCAA